rnacentral:rRNA from 1 species
GGGGGCAGCGGGGGGGGGUUUUUUUCUUUUUACUUUUACCCUUAUUCUAAUUGAUUUUUUCCCCCUUGGAAAAGGAAGCCCAGAGUCAAGGAAGAGACGGGAAGCGAUUUUUUUUGGGAUAAGGGCAACGGGUAGACACAAUUGACAACCUUCCCCUAGAUUUGGGAAAGCCGGGGAAACGGUUUUAAUCCAGAAUAUGGACUGAACCCCAUGUUUCCCUUUUGAAAAAUUUUUCGGUGGGGGAAGGCUCGGGGCCUAUCCAGCUUGUUGUGAGGUAAUGGCUCACCAAGGCGUUGACGGGUAGCCGCCUUGGAAGGUGACCGGCCCCACUGGGAUUGAGACACGGCCCAGAUUCCUACGGGAAGCAGCAGUGGGAAUAUUGCACAAUGGGCGCAAGCCUGAUGCAGCAACGCCGCUUGAAGGAUGACGGCCUUCGAGGUUGUAAACCUUUUUUUAGCAGGGAAGAAGCGAAAGUGACGGUACCUGCAGAAAAAGCGCCGGCUAAUUACGUGCCAGCAGCCGCGGUAAUACGUAGGGCGCAAGCGUUAUCCGGAAUUAUUGGGCGUAAAGAGCUCGUAGGCGGUUUGUCGCGUCUGCUGUGAAAUCCCGAGGCUCAACCUCGGGCCUGCAGUGGGUACGGGCAGACUAGAGUGCGGUAGGGGAGAUUGGAAUUCCUGGUGUAGCGGUGGAAUGCGCAGAUAUCAGGAGGAACACCGAUGGCGAAGGCAGAUCUCUGGGCCGUAACUGACGCUGAGGAGCGAAAGGGUGGGGAGCAAACAGGCUUAGAUACCCUGGUAGUCCACCCCGUAAACGUUGGGAACUAGUUGUGGGGUCCAUUCCACGGAUUCCGUGACGCAGCUAACGCAUUAAGUUCCCCGCCUGGGGAGUACGGCCGCAAGGCUAAAACUCAAAGGAAUUGACGGGGACCCGCACAAGCGGCGGAGCAUGCGGAUUAAUUCGAUGCAACGCGAAGAACCUUACCAAGGCUUGACAUAUACGAGAACGGGCCAGAAAUGGUCAACUCUUUGGACACUCGUAAACAGGUGGUGCAUGGUUGUCGUCAGCUCGUGUCGUGAGAUGUUGGGUUAAGUCCCGCAACGAGCGCAACCCUCGUUCUAUGUUGCCAGCACGUAAUGGUGGGAACUCAUGGGAUACUGCCGGGGUCAACUCGGAGGAAGGUGGGGAUGACGUCAAAUCAUCAUGCCCCUUAUGUCUUGGGCUUCACGCAUGCUACAAUGGCCGGUACAAAGGGCUGCAAUACCGUGAGGUGGAGCGAAUCCCAAAAAGCCGGUCCCAGUUCGGAUUGAGGUCUGCAACUCGACCUCAUGAAGUCGGAGUCGCUAGUAAUCGCAGAUCAGCAACGCUGCGGUGAAUACGUUCCCGGGUCUUGUACACACCGCCCGUCAAGUCAUGAAAGUCGGUAACACCUGAAGCCGGUGGCCUAACCCUUGUGGAGGAGCCGUCGAAGGUGAUGCGUUCU